CAAGAAAAUUCAAAAUGGCCGACAUAUAUAUAUAUAUAUUCGAAGGUCAAACUUUUCUGGAUCCAGUAUAUAUAUAUAUAUAUAUAGGAUGGUGCCACUCUUUGUGACACAAGAUUAGGCAAUCAUAGUACAAUAUGAACUGACUUGUGUUUCAGAUUGCUUUGGGUAGGAGGCAAUCCAUCUAGGAGAAAGAAAGCUCGGAUUUCAGACCCCACCUUUGGACAAUACAUGUGACUAGGCAAAAAAGAAAUAUGUGGGUUUCCGGUUUCCUCUUGUAAAAACUUAGGUAGGGUAGGUCGGUUUUAACUUUUUUUUUAAAACUUUUUUUUUUAAUUUUCCUAACAACCGGACGCCAUUUUGUUUAGUCAGUGCUUCCACAUCCAAACAUAAAUUUCCCUAAUAUUGCCUCAAAUUUUCAUUUUCCACAAACGUUUUGCUCUAAGUGGAAACACUUACAAGCGUGAUCCAAUAAAAAAGUUUAGGGUCGGGAUUUCGACGUCCAAAAGCUAGGUAGGGUCGGGAAACCGGAAACCCACAUAUUUUUUUAUUUGGCCCUACAUGAUCAUUAUAGCUUGGAAAUUAGGUUAAAUUCUUAAAGAAAAGCGACUCAUUUUUGGUAUGCGAGGUAUAAAUUACAUGUAUAUACAUGUAUAUAAAUUGUGCACAAAUUAUCUAACUAAUAGCUAUGUGUAAAGCUAUACUGUAAAGCUGCUAACACUUUAUUUAUCUCAAUGACAUUUUCAGUGUUCUGGAUCAUUUUCACUACUUUGUGAAGAG